rnacentral:lncRNA from 1 species
GUGAUUUUUCUUUUAGGUGGCAUUUCCCUGGAAGUCUUCUUUAUGUCAAGACUUGAACUGCUGCUUAUUGAAGCCAUCCUACAAAGAUGAUCUCCUGUUUCCAGGAGUCAGAGAGCCAAAGCUGGAGGCCCAGAAAGAGAAGGCCAUGCACAUAGCAGCAGCACAAAUCUGUGGGCCACUGUGACCCCGGCUCUGUCCCAGGCUUUCCAUCCCCAUUCCACCACCAAACAAAACAAGAACUGUUGGAUCAAUUUGGGAAUCGCCUUCUGCAGCUUCCUUCUAACUGUGGGAUUUCAUUCUGUGGACACCUGCUUCUAAAUAAAUACCUGUGUUUCCCUAAGAGCACUUUUGAUAAAUAAUGUCUCCUCCACCUUUGCAAUGGGAUGCCCAGUUCUUGUUAAGGCUGAAGGUAGAUUCUCCAUGGGGAAUUCUGAAAUGCAGGAGACACACACAGAGAACAAAAAAGAAAAAGCAGGAGGGAGAACUCUGACCACUCCACUCCCAUAUAGUACUCCGAGAAAGCUGAGGCCCACAUGGGCCCAAGGAAAGGACUCAUUUUUUCCACAUGCCCUGGCACAUGAGGACCCAGAAGCUACAGGAAAGGUGCCUGAGGAAGCGGCAGGCUUCGAUCCAUGGAACUGGAUCGAAGACUGGAGGCUGUGUGACCAGAACCUGCUCAAGGAAGAUGUCAGGAGCAUCUCUGAGUUAGCCUCCAGGGCAACAAAUUAUACUCAGCCCACCUACUCAGGACACACUGACCUGGCUGGUGCGGAGAAGUUCUGCCCCUUGCCCCUGCACCCAAGGAUGGAUAUAAAGACAGGUAGGCAAGUGUUGAAGGGGUGGAUGAUGGCAUGGGUGGCUGGAGGAAGAGGAGGAGAGGAGAGGUAG